CGCGGCCUAUCAGCUUGUUGGUGGGGUGAUGGCCUACCAAGGCGUCGACGGGUAGCCGGCCUGAGAGGGUGUCCGGCCACACUGGGACUGAGAUACGGCCCAGACUCCUACGGGAGGCAGCAGUGGGGAAUAUUGCACAAUGGGCGCAAGCCUGAUGCAGCGACGCCGCGUGGGGGAUGACGGCCUUCGGGUUGUAAACCUCUUUCAGCACAGACGAAGCGCAAGUGACGGUAUGUGCAGAAGAAGCACCGGCCAACUACGUGCCAGCAGCCGCGGUAAUACGUAGGGUGCGAGCGUUGUCCGGAAUUACUGGGCGUAAAGAGCUUGUAGGUGGUUUGUCGCGUUGUUCGUGAAAUCUCACGGCUUAACUGUGAGCGUGCGGGCGAUACGGGCAGACUAGAGUACUGCAGGGGAGACUGGAAUUCCUGGUGUAGCGGUGGAAUGCGCAGAUAUCAGGAGGAACACCGGUGGCGAAGGCGGCUUGCUGGGCCAGUUCUGACGCUGAGGAGCGAGAGCGUGGGGAGCGAACAGGAUUAGAUACCCUGGUAGUCCACGCUGUAAACGUUGGGCGCUAGGUGUGGGGGUCUUCCACGGUUCCUGUGCCGUAGCUAACGCAUUAAGCGCCCCGCCUGGGGAGUACGGA
rnacentral:rRNA from 1 species